AUUGAACGCUGGCGGCAGGCCUAACACAUGCAAGUCGAACGGUAGCACAGAGAGCUUGCUCUCGGGUGACGAGUGGCGGACGGGUGAGUAAUGUCUGGGAAACUGCCCGAUGGAGGGGGAUAACUACUGGAAACGGUAGCUAAUACCGCAUAACGUCGCAAGACCAAAGUGGGGGACCUUCGGGCCUCACACCAUCGGAUGUGCCCAGAUGGGAUUAGCUAGUAGGUGGGGUAAUGGCUCACCUAGGCGACGAUCCCUAGCUGGUCUGAGAGGAUGACCAGUCACACUGGAACUGAGACACGGUCCAGACUCCUACGGGAGGCAGCAGUGGGGAAUAUUGCACAAUGGGCGCAAGCCUGAUGCAGCCAUGCCGCGUGUAUGAAGAAGGCCUUCGGGUUGUAAAGUACUUUCAGCGGGGAGGAAGGCGGUGAAGUUAAUAACUUCACCGAUUGACGUUACCCGCAGAAGAAGCACCGGCUAACUCCGUGCCAGCAGCCGCAGUAA
rnacentral:rRNA from 1 species